rnacentral:sRNA from 1 species
UAGCUCAGUUGGUAGAGCAGUUGACUUUUAAUCAAUUGGUCGCAGGUUCGAACGCUAAGGUGGAAGCGGUAGUAAAACGUGAAGGAUAACGUUGCAUCAGCAACGGCCCGAAGGGCGAGACGAAGUCGAAUCAUCCUGCACGACCCACCA